rnacentral:rRNA from 1 species
UACAUGGGGUGCAAACGUUGCUCGGAAUCAUUGGGCGUAAAGCGCACGUAGGCGGUUACUUAAGUCGGAUGUGAAAGCCCUCGGCUCAACUGAGGAAGUGCACCCGAAACUGAGUAGCUAGAGUACGAAAGAGGGUCGCGGAAUUCCCGGUGUAGAGGUGAAAUUCGUAGAUAUCGGGAGGAACACCGGUGGCGAAGGCGGGUCUCUGGGCCGUAACUGACGCUGAGGAGCGAAAGCGUGGGGAGCGAACAGG